CAGCGGAGACAGGAAGGUGGGGGGUGGGAACGGGAGGGUUGGCAGGAGAAAGUGGGCCUGGGCGAGGUCCCCGAAGCAGGGUGCAGGGGGGCUGGACUGCGGCAGGGGACUCUGCCACCGGCUGAUCUCUGGGGAAAGCUCUGCGGUCCCCUCUCCUCCCUGUGCAGAGCCGCCUCGUCUCACUUUUCCUCCCAUCUCACUGGGCCUCGGCCACUCCCUCAAACCCUCAUGUCUGGGGACACCUGGGUCAAGGUCAGAAGGCCUCUAAUUCUAACCAGAGUCCACAAGUCCCUCCAGGGAGCCACAAGCAACUUUGGUUCAGUCACUCAUUCGUUCAACAAACAUCUCUAGGACACGGCUCUGGGCCAAGCCCUGUCCUGGGCACCCUCCAUCUAGGACAGAGCUCAACCGCCACACACCUAAGUCACAACCACGUGGGAACCAGCACGAAGGGGACACAAGCCCGGAUCAGGCUGAGCCUGCCAUGGAAACCAAGGCUACAGCAUUCAUAAAGUCUUGGUAAGAAGCUUCCAGGCUGGCAGGAGGGACUGGGAUACCGGUCCAGGCUAAGGAGCCCAGGCAGGAGAGGGGCCCAGGGGAAUCAGAAGGCCUCCCUCUCCCCACCCUCUGACAAAACUACCUUCUCUUUCCAGGGUCAACCAUCAGGGGAAUACAACCAUUUAUUUUUCUGUUAAAACAUUUAAUAAUUGGCUAAAUUUGUUCUAGUAUUGCAACUAGUGUCAAUGUCUACUGUUUUCAUUGCACAUGCACAGAUUUUGCAGCCACACUCUGAGUUAAGCAGCUUUCUGGCUGUUCCUGGAAGCCCGGUAUCAUUGUCAACACAGUUUCUGAGUGGAAAGACUUUCCCCAGAAGACUUGGGAGUAGAGAGACUUCCUGCGUUCAUUGAAGAGCCCAUUCUCUACAAAACGCCGGCAACACGGAGCCGAGCCGAGGCUGUGGGCUUUUUAGGACCCAAAACCUGCAGAGAAUGUGCUGAUGGGCCAUAACCACGGUCUGCCCUUUGUCCGGAGAGAAAAAGGAAGGGAGAAAAAUCAGCUGAGUCUAGCGCUUCGGAUGCUGUGCUGGGAUAUUUCACAGGUCACAGCAGAUGAGCAGCAGCCUGAGGGCCUGAAGAGUCCACUCCCCCAGAUGCCUCCUCCCCAGGGAACGGCCCCACCCCUGCGGAGGCCAGAAGAAGGGGCUCAGGCCAAGCCUAUGUGCCUCUUGAAUGAAGGGAUGGAUGGAUGGACGAAUGGAAAACGGGGAGAGGAGUCCUGUAGGAAGCCCUCUCGCUAACACAGAGGCCUGAUGGAUGAUGGGAAGCUCCUCCUCCUGCUGUUGAGAACUCCAGCCCGCACUUUGCCUCCAACCCGAUCUUGCAGGACCCAGCUCCCUUGCGUCCUGGCAUCAAACGUCUGUUUGAUCAGCUUUCCAUCCAUUUUCGGAAAAGGUGGUGAUUUGGGGUUGUUCUGAAUCUUGCAGGACUGUCCGUGCUGCUCCCUGGACAUGUAUUGAUGGAGCCCCAAGUCCGAUACUGGCCGGAUGCCCUGCUCUCUGACAACCCCUUCGUCCCCCCACGACCCCCCCGUGCCCCACCCCCACAGCUCCCAAAGCCCCUGGUUGUCUCCCCUUUACCAGAGCCACCAUGCAGGCCGCAGGGUCAGCUGAAAGCUCUUGGCUGAGAGGGUCCGGCUAGGCGACGGGUCUGUCCUCACUGGGUGGAGCUCUGCUGCCCCCUGGAGGUCGGAUGGGCGGGGCGGGCGGGGGGAGGGAAGGGGUGCACAGAAGAAGGUGGCAACCCUGUCUCCAGAGCCUGGAUUUCACCCCGCCUCUGCUUGGCCUUCCUGACAGUGAAAAAGAUCCUUGCAGUGCUGGUUAAGCGUUCUGCAGCCUGUAUCUUUUUUUUUUUUUUUUUUGCUUUUUAGGGCUAUACUGGCAGCAUAUGGACGUUCCCAGGCUAGGGUUCAAAUUGGAACUGCACUGCCAGCCUACGCCAUAGCCAGAUUCGAGCCUCGUCUGCAGCCUACACCACAGCUCAUGGCAACGCCAGAUCCUUAACCCGCUGAGUGAGGCCAGGGAUGGAACCUGCAUCCUCACGAAUCCUACUCGGAUUCAACACUGUUGAGUCACAACGGGAACUCCCCUCAGCCCACAUCUUUAGUUGUAAGCUCUCUCAUUUGGUAGCAAAUCCUAGUUUCACAAAGCAUUUUUUUUUUUUUUGGUUUUGCCUGCAGCAUGCAGAAAUUCCCUGGCCAGGGAUCGAACUCACACCAGAGCAGUGACAAUGGCAGAUCCAUAACCACUAGGCCACCUGGGAACUCCUACAAAGCAUUUUUUCAGCCGUCAUUUCCCUCGAGCACGGAACCCCGUGGAGUGGCAGCUCCCCAUGUUUUCAGAGAAGGGAGCCUGGAAUCAGAGAAGCUGUGCCAAGUUCAUGAGUAACGGUCGAGGAGGCUCACAGGUUGAGCAACAGAAAGGCGAGGUCCACCCAAUGGGGACCUGCGGGCACCAGGGCCAGGAAGCCAGGGGCCUGGCAGGCAGGGCUGUGGGUGGCAGGAGUAGACCAUGGACCAGGGCUCAGGAUGGAAGCCCUGAAAUCCCGUGGGUGAGGAAGGAGGCAGAAGGGAGCAGGCCAGGGAAGGGACCCAGCGAGGGUGCUGAGGGGCAGUGAAAUUAGAGCUCAGAAGGGGCCAAAAUCAAAGAACUACGGGAGUUCCUGCCGUGGCGCAGCGGAAACGAAUCCGACUAGGAACCAUGAGGUUGGGAGUGUGAUCCCUGGUCUUGCUCAGUGGGUUAAAGAUCCAGCGUUGCUGUGACCUGUGGCGCAGGUUGCAGAUGCGGCUCAGAUCUGGCAUUGCUGUGGCUCUGGCAUAGGCCGGCAGCUGUAGCUCUGAUUAGACCCCCUAGCCUGGGAACCUCCAUAUGCUGUGGGUGUGGCCCUAAAAAGCAAAAAAAAAAAAAAAAA
rnacentral:lncRNA from 1 species